GGGGCCGUGCCUGAAGUAAAGGACCACUUUGAUAGAGUGAACAAUGGGGGUUAAAGUCCCCCCAGCCCCU
rnacentral:tRNA from 1 species